ensembl:lncRNA
UUGUCACAUUUGUAAUUAAAUACUGCCUCAGUAGGCAGCACAUGCCUACUUUUUGCCUGCUUGCCUGCAUAUCAGCAAAUCCUGACCACUUCAAAACAGGCCUAACAAAACCAAACAGAAAACCCUCAACAGGCCAAGAUGCAUCUACUUUCAAGUACUCUGAAUAUCUCUGCUAACAAUGGAUCUGCCACCUUCCAUUACUUUCCUAUUGUACCUUAAAAGUCCACUUUGAAAAGUAUGCCGUAGAAAUGGCAGUCUGAUAUGUAUCUCUAAAUAUUUAUGCCGAGACUUUCUUCUGAAUUUGCAGUGGGUGCAAUCAGUUUUUUGGAGACUUUAGUCAAACUUUCUCUUAGAUAGAAACAGCGACCACACGGGCACACUUCCAUUGCUGGCAAAGAAGGCAAAGUCUCAUUUGUUCAGUAAAAGAAGAUUUUUGCUGGAUGCCACAGGAUGCCUAAAAGCAUGGUGUGAAAAGCAAGUUCUCAGGAGGACGUGAGAAGAGUUCUUAGUUAAUUUUGUUAUCCAAGGUUAAUUGGGGAAGUGACUUCUUGAGCUUCACUUGCAACAAUUACAUAAGAGAAAAAAAAUGGAGAAAUGUCUGCACGCCUUUGCAAAGAUGUCCUGGACCUCCUGCCUUGCGAAGGAAGGCCACACCGCGUGAGGAGGACGGGCCGUGUGAGGAGGACGGGCCGCGUGAGGAGGACAAACCAUGCCAGGCCCAAGUGCUCGGCCCUGGCUGGGGGGACACGGAGAUGGCACGUAGCCCAGGGAUGCUGCUGGCCUGGAGGUACCUCAGGAGAGUAGGAAUUAUAACUCCGUUGAUGUCUCAACUCACCUGAGGAGUAUGAAUGACACAGCCCCAGGUACAUGGGACUGGACCACAUCAGAGAGGUGCAUCCAUGGGGCGCGAUUUGUUUGCUCCUGGGCUUUGCCAUCCAUGCUGAGGCUGGGGAGAAGUCUGCAGCCUUCUCUAAGCAUCUCUGCAGACUUGGCUGGAGCCAGGGAGCAGUGGGGACCACCAACAUUGAGAGCAAGGGCAAAACCAUGCCAAUAACACGGGGGCAGAUGGUGGCAGAUGACUUGCAGAUGUGGUUGCAAAGGUCACCGCAAAACAAGCUCCAUCCAGAGGACCUGGCGCAGCAGAUUCCUGCUGCAGAGCUAUUUGACUGUAGCGCGCUUCUGGAGCACCUACAGCUGCAUGCAUUAAUACCACGGCGGAGUUUCGAAAUGUUUUCAGGCAGACUUCAGCUCCCUGGGAAAUUAUUUUAAUUAUGAU